CUGAUUUGUUGUACUUAUGAACUAUAUUCCAUGGUAUGUUCCCUUUAUUGUCAACUUCAUACAAGCUAGAGUUAUCAGGAAAGAGGAAAACCUCAAAUGAGAAAAUUCUUCCAUCUGCUUGACCCAUAGGUUCCCGCCUUGAGUUCCUGUCCUGACUUCCCUUCACGAUAGUCUGAAAGCUGUAAGAUCAAAUAAACCCUUUCCUGAGUUGAUUUUGGUCCUGGUCUUCAUUCAGAUCAAUACAAACCUUAAAAAUGGAAACAACUCUGUCCUUGACCUUCAGAAAGAAAUUGACUUGCCUAGCUUAACUAUUCAAACAAACAACUGUAUACUCUCCUCAAUUCCUGUGAUGAUUUUGAUUUACUGUAAAUGACGGGAUUUAAUGAACUAAAUUAUGCUAUUUAAAUGCAUUUUGUGAAUGGUACUGUAGUUUGUUACAAAGCAUUAUGUCUAUGCUAAAUUGUGCUGUAAACGAUAUGGUACGGAACAUAUGUGCUGUACUCAUAAUUUAACCGUUGUUCUGCAGUGCUUCUUGCUAGGACGCAGCAAGGAAGGAGCCUUUAUUUACCUGGUGAAAUGAAGGUGAUAUCUCAGCGAAUCACUAGGUCUUGCUGACCUUGGCAGAAUUACAGUGCUAAUAUUUUCACAUGGAUGAACUCUUCUCGAACAAUUUCUCUAAUGUAUAUGGCAGAAAUAGGCUUUCCAUUAUAGCUGGGUAUAUAUGGUAGAUCUUCUCUUUCCAUUUUUCCCCUUCAACAAACAUUUACUGCAGUCAUUGCAAGGAUAAUUCCACCUCUGCUGAGGUUCACGUCUGCUUCCGGCUUCUCAGUGCACCAGUAAUAGAACACGGAGGUUUGUCCUGCAGGCAUACUGGUAGCCUUUCUGAAAGGACCUGUGUUAAAAAGCACCCCACUUUACUUCUUUCUUAACCACUCAAGAAAUAAAAAGUAGAAUACUCAGGCCAAAAUACUGCUUUAUUCUGGACACAGCUACACUGACUUCAUUUAGGAGCAAAUGGGCUUCCUAGCAGAGUCCAGCAUCAGGGCCCACUUUCCUUACAUGGAAGAUUUAUUUUUGUUAUCACUGUUAUUAUUUUUCUUUUUGGUUUUUGGAGAUUGGGUCUCUAUAUAGUCCUAGCUAUCCUGGAUUCUCUAUGUAGAUUAGGCCACAUGUAGGAUUUAUAAGAUGGAAGAGUUUGUACUUUCUUUCUGUCUGUUGACUUUUUUUGAGCCAGGUAAAGCAGACCCAGUUUUUCUUUACAAAAUUGCCAGUUACGUUUGCAUGAAUAAAGGGAGAGAUGGUCAAAUUCUCCUCGUAGGAGGGAAGCAUUAGACACAAAUAAAAAAACAUUCUCCAAUAACAAUACAACUAAAAAUAUUUUAUUUAUUAUUUUAUUGUGUGCAAUGUGAUUAUGUGUGGCACAUGUAUGUGGAAGGGUAGGGCAGAUGAUAGUUUAUGGGGAUGGGUUGUAAACAAAGGUUUCUUUGUCCUGCCUUGUCCUGCAGCCAAUUCUAAAUAAUCACUCAGAAGCUUAAUAUUAAUUACAAACUGCUUGGCCUAUAGUUCAGGCUUACUACUAACUAGCUCUUACAUUUAAAUUAACCCAUUUCUAUUAAUCUAUGUUUUGCCAUGUGUCUCAUGGCUUUACCUGUGCUCUAAAACAUCUUGCUCCUUCAGUGGCUGUCUGGCACCUCCCAGACUCUGCCCUUCUUCUCUCCUGUAUCCAGUUUGGCUUUCCCACCAAGCUGUAUUCUACCUUGCUA